rnacentral:lncRNA from 1 species
GAUGGGAUCUUUGGCUCUCUUAACCCAAAGCCAUAUCCAGCUUGCGAAUCCUACCUUCGAAGAAAGAUGGCUGUUGGUGCAAAAAUCCGCUCGCACCAGAGAAGCUGGAGUCGAGGGAGCCGCGGCCGCCGUCGGGACCUGCAAAAGAAGUCUAAACCGGAGGUGGGGUUGCUCCGGCAAGAUCCUCUGACGCUCAAGUCAGUUCUCUGCCUCAACAAAAAUGGAGUGCUCGAACAAAAAUUUUAGCAGAGUUUUGGGAUAGAGAAUAGAGCUUAGAAAAUAACGUAUCUGGGGUCCCCCUUUUUAUAGGC